UUUUAUUUACAUUAUAUAUAGUCUUCUAUGCUUGUUUAUUUAAUGGAAAAUAGGGUGUACGAAAGGGAAAUUAGUUUAUGGAGUUACUUGAAGAAUUACUUUCCCAACAGUGGAACCAGAAAAUAGAGAUGUUAAACUCUCCAGAAACUCUCAAUUCCAUUAUAGAAUUUGUGCUUGGAUUUUUCUUUUCCUUCUUUCAAGUAAAACUUCCAUAUCCUUUCUGAAAUCUUCAAAAUAAUUAAUGUAGGAACCCACCAUAAAUCCUUGCAUCAUAACUUCUUUGCCCACCAUGUUUCAAACUCCUCCUCUCUCGGUCCACCUACAAAAAUUCAAAGAUUUUCUUUUUCCUAAUAGAGUUUUUUUUGCAAGUAUCACACAUCAACUAUCAGUUGUUCUCUUUUGCCAUCUGAACUAUCACCGUCUAUGAAUUAAAAUACACCCAAAUUAUCAGUUUGUUACACCUCGGAAAUUUGGGUUGUCGCACUGUGAGUAGACUAAUGUAAGCAUAAGGUGAACAUGGAGCUCUUAUGACCACAAGAAGGAUAUUUGGUAGCUUUAAAGUGUAUGCGAUGAGAAUUUGGAGUUAUAUGAAUUGGUGAGACUAAGUUCGUCAAAGGAAAGUGAAGUAUAAGUUGUGUUCGGGAAUGUUUGGCGAUUAUCGAGUUAAUGAUUAUUUGGUAAUGUCUUGAAGAGAAGUUAUAGAGCCCUUAGAUGGUUGAUGAAGUAUUAUACAAGUGUCAAGAAGGUUCCAUAAGAAUUGGAGAUCAAACGAAUCACUGAGAGCGAUUCCAGAAAAAGUGGGUUAUACGACCACUUAUACGGUCCGUAUAACAUUCCAGAGGAAGGUCAGUCCCUGGUGGUAUUAUACGACCACUUAUACGGACCGUAUAAUAUUAUACGGACUGUAUAAGGGGUCUGUAUAACUCCAUCGGGUCACUUUUCCAAAAUUUUCCCCAACUCUAUAUAUAUAGCCCAAGUCCAUAUUUUUCAUUUCAUACAUCUUCCACACCUCUCAAGAGCUCUAGAAUAUUCCAUACCCCUUACUAACACAAAUCCAAGGUAAACCAAAGAUUAAAUAUCAAGAACCAAGAGAAUCAAGGGUAGAGAAGGUGACUAGGGCUUAUGGAAGUUAAGGUUUCCUUUUUGGAAUUGAAGUUGGGGUUUUCUUAAGUGAAGUAUUUUCAUCCAAAGUCCCUUCCUACAUCAUCAAAGAAUUGUGAGCUCGGAAGGAGAGCGUUUAGUCAAUAGAGCAAAAGAGACAAAAAGGUAGACAGGGAGACGGUCCGGAUUCCUAGAAGUCCAUUCAGCAGACACACAUAAGCACUCCACUACUCUAGAGUUGCAGCUCGUUGGUAUUUUCUUUGUGUACAUAUUUGGGGCAUGGCGAGGUCCUGUCCCAUCCUUAUGAUUUCUGUCUUUCAGUUAGAGGCUCGUAGAUACAUAUGUGUGGGUAGUAGAUGUUAUGUACCCUCUCAGUGUUACUUGUGUAUCAUUUUGAUAGCCGCGAGGACUUAUGUAUAUAUAUACUCAUGCCUUGGGGGAUAAUUUACGAUCAUUUUAUAGUAAGUAUUACCUUUGAGAAUUAUGUUUGCUUGAGGUGAGUAUGACAGCUAGAAGCAUAUGGGGUGCUCGGUAGUCAGCUCCGGGUAUCCGUCAUGGCUCCCUAGUCAGUUCGUGACACAGUUGUCCCUGAAAACCCUAAACUCAAUCAGGUAGAAAAGGGAACAACUGAUAGUUGAUGUGUGUUUUAUUACAUAAAUGAUAAUAAUUCAGGUAGCAAAAGAGAAUUGCUGAUAGUUGAAGUGUGAAACUUGCGAAAAAGUGAUAGUUCAUGUAUGCUUUUGACCAUUAACUAGAUCUUACUUUUUUUAAGAAACCAUCACCAGGCUAUAUUAGCCCCUACCUCCUAUAUCAUUCGAGGUGAAAAAGUAAUUAUUUGGUUCGACGAAUG